ACGAAGCUGAACACAAGUAGUUGCUGGCUCUCUAGGGAGUAUUGUGCACACUUGUAAGUCUUCAACUCUUCCCCUUUGUGCACUUUUGGCUAGUACUUAUUGAAGUGAGAGAUUUUUUAGGGAGUCUUGUUUGAGCUUUAGUAUCUUGUACUAUGCACCCUUUUUAUAAAUGUAUGUCUUUGAAAGUCUUUGCAAGGUCUUUGUACCUGUAAAAUCUAUA
rnacentral:misc_RNA from 1 species